UACAGAGGGUGCGAGCGUUGUUCGGAAUUAUUGGGCGUAAAGCGCAUGUAGGCGGCUUGUUAAGUCGCGUGUGAAAGCUCCAGGCUCAACCUGGAAAGUGCGCGCGAAACUGGCGAGCUUGAGUGCCGGAGAGGGUGGCGGAAUUCCCGGUGUAGAGGUGAAAUUCGUAGAUAUCGGGAGGAACACCAGAGGCGAAGGCGGCCACCUGGACGGACACUGACGCUGAGACGCGAAAGCGUGGGGAGCAAACAGG
rnacentral:rRNA from 1 species